GUUGAGUCAUGUGAGAGUCAAAAGUUGGUUUUAGAGAUAUUAUCCUUGUUUUUACAUUGUUUUGCAUUGUUUUAAGGUGAAUUGGAGAUGAUAGUGAAGUAAGGUGGACUUAGACCCGUGAAAGAGGAAGAAAAAGGAUGAAAAGAAGGGUCAAGUGAGCCGCUGAGCACCAGAAUGGACCGCUGAGCAUCCAAAGCGAUUAGAGGGAAACCGCUCAGCGGCAAAACUGACCGCUGAGCAGUCCAAACGGCUAGAGGGAAACUGCUGAGCGGUUUACUUAGGCACUUGGUGGUUGUCUGUUUUUAUUAGCUAGAUUCUGUAAUCUUUCUAUUAUCUUUUUGGGCUUAUAUAUAGCCCCAGUGCGAAUCAAAACAUAUUCUUUUGGCAGAGAGAAAUGUCCAGAGCUAUUCCACACACCUUGGAGGAGGUUCUUUGGAUGCUUAGGCG
rnacentral:lncRNA from 1 species